rnacentral:rRNA from 1 species
UACGUAGGGGGCAAGCGUUGUCCGGAUUUAUUGGGCGUAAAGAGCGUGUAGGCGGCCAGGUAGGUCGGUUGUGAAAACUGGAGGCUCAACCUCCAGACGUCGACCGAAACCAUCUGGCUAGAGUCCGGAAGAGGAGAGUGGAAUUCCUGGUGUAGCGGUGAAAUGCGCAGAUAUCAGGAAGAACACCCGUGGCGAAAGCGGCUCUCUGGGACGGUACUGACGCUGAGACGCGAAAGCGUGGGGAGCGAAUGGG